AGUUGUCAUUUUUCUUCUUAGUGCUCCCAUGGUGGUUGUCAAUUCUUCUAAAAAAAGCAUUUACCAAUCUGAUUUUGUAAUAAUGUCUUUACUUGUCUGUCUUUCCACUAGAAUAUGAGUUCUUUAAUGGCAGGAAUGCUUCUUCUCUCUCUCUUAGCUUAGCCCCUGGCAUGAGCCAGGCUCAUAGUUUAUGUACAACAAAUAUUUGCUGAAUGAAUGAAUAAGUCAAUGGCUGGGCACACAGAAUUGUCUUUCACAGAAUGUCAUUCUUAAAGGGAAGCUAUAGGAGAAUACAGAUGUAUGUGGCUACAUUUUAAUUUUUUCUAAAGGAUCAGAAAACUUAUAAGAGAGACAUAGUUGCAACAGAUCUUUAGCAUGUCAAAUUUUGACUACCUGUUUACACAUUAUCUUCACUGUUCUUAGCUAGAGGGUUCAUAAUGUCCAGGGUGCUGCCAUCUGGUAGAAAUAUACAAGCAAAAAAAAAAAAAAAGAAAGAAAUAUAAAGGCAGAGUAUCUGGGGGGUGGGAAACAAACAUUAAUUAGUAAAAGUGUAGUGAGACAGGAAUGGAGAUUUUUGUAGGAAAAAUUUCAAACAGCUAAAGACAAGUUGACUCUUGGUAGCUAAUUUUUUUGUUUAUUUGUUUUGACAGACUCUCACUCUUUCGCCCUGGGUAGAGUGCCAUGGUGUCAUCACAAGUCACAGCAGCCUCAAAUUCUUGGGCUCAAGUGAUCUUCUUGCCUCAGCCACCCAAGUAGCUGGGACUACAGGCCUGUGCCCACCACACCCAGCUAGUUUUUUCUAUUUUUAGUAGAGACGGGGUCUCAUUCUUGUUCAGGCUGUUCUGGAAUUCCUGAGUUCACUCAAUCCUCCUGCCUCGGCAGCCCAGAAUGCUAGGAUUACAGCAAAGAACGAGAGUUCCUGUUGUUCUACAUCCUUAGCAGCAUUUGACGUUGUCAGUGUUUUGAUUUGGGCCAUCCAAUUAGGAGAUGUAGCCGGUGCUGGACUACACUCAGCCCCAGACUAAGAACCUAGGAAGUGGAGGAUGUGCUUGCUGGGCUCUCGUCUCCUGUGCUCCCACCUGAUGUGUGUCACAUGGGCUGUCUACUUCUGUUCUCUCUUCAGCGUCUUCAGGUUCUGGCAUUAGUCAUUCCCACCAAGAAAUGACAAAGAGGACAGAAAAACCAGAAAGCUGGCAGGAACCCUGAGGGCCUGGGUUCAAGGAAGCUCUUUAAUUUGUGAGUCUUUGGAAUUAAAAUCAGCAUGCAUGGUUCAUUGUAUAAAAAUAACAGCAUGAAUAUAAAAAAAUGCUACUGUUCUCCAGCUGGGCAAAACAAAACAGGGUCUAUGGAACCUGAAAAUGCUGCAAAGCAGAAGCAGACUUUCAAAGGACGUCUCUUAAGAAAUACAAAGUAAAAUAACAAGUUUUUUUGGCUUAGAAGUUAAGACUCCUUUAGAGGCCGUGUACAGACCUUAAUUAUUUACCUCAGGACACUCGGGAGCCAGAGAGGGCCGCCAAGUUGCAAAAAAAGGAAAAAAAAAAAAACCCUCCAAAAACAGACAAUAAAAACGGGCUUUUAACCUUAAGUGGAGUAAAUAAAAGGAGGAAUGAGCACAGGUAGAACAAAAUCUCAGACCCAUUCUUUCUUCAAGAAGCCUGGAAAUGUUCUUUUUUCCUACAGAGAAAGGACUGCAUUGCAGAGGAGUAACUCUGCACCUGCUGAUGGGAUCCAGGGGCAUCCACUAGCAAGAGGAUUAGAAGGGAAGAAAAAGAAAGUAUCAUACCGGCCGGGCGUGGUGACCCACACCUGUAGUCCCAGCGCUGUGGGAGGCCGAGGCCGGUGGAUUGCCUGAGCUCAGAGGUUCGAGACCAGUAUGACCAGCAGUGAGCCAGAAUAAGACCCCCGUCUCUACUAACAUCAAAAACAGCGGGACAGAGCAUCGCCAGGGGAAGAAGAAAAUGAACAAACAAAAAGAGUACUUCAAACGAAGAAGAAUGAACAAGCAAGCUGAAAUUAAAAAUAAAAAAAAUUAAAAAAGAAAGUACCAUACCUUGCCAGGUAUAGUAUAUGCAUAGACCAGUAGGGAGUGCUGUUGUUUUACUUUUUCCAUGCUCUGUGGAGGGGACA